AUAAAUAAUGCUGUCUGGAGACUCUGUGGCAGUUAUUCAUUAGUUUAUACACACGUAUGGACAAAAUGGGUGUUUUUAACAUUAUUGUUAUGUGCAUUGUAUGGCAAAUAAACAGCGUCGGGACACAAGAGAUACGACCCCAAAAAGCUGGCAAUUUGAAGGCAGUAGAAAAUUGGUUACUGUAUAUAAAAUUCGGCAAUGACGAGGUGUGCGCAGGUGUACAACUCUCUGACGAUUGGGUUCUUACCCUUGCUGACUGCAUUGAUAAAAAAUUCAAGCUUACAAAAUACAGAAUUGUUUACAAAGAUGGUUCAAGGAAGGUUAUUGCCGAAGACCGGG